GCCCCUGUGGUGAAAUUGGUAGACGCGCUCGACUCAAAAUCGAGUUCCUUCGGGAGUGCUGGUUCGAUUCCGGCCAGGGGCACCA
rnacentral:tRNA from 1 species